GGAGCGAGGCCGAACUUAGGCGGUGCGAGGCGCCUGCGGGACCCCAGGCCUGGAGCUGCGCGCCCUGGUGUCUACGCGUUCGCCCCUACUACUCCAGUGUCCUUUCUGCGGAACGCCGGGCUCCAGGACUCUCCUCUAUUGCCAGCGUAGACGUGUUCCAAGAGCUGAGUCGAGGUGCCUCGGACAGGCGGAGCCCGCAUCAAUCAACCCACUCCCGUGGGUUUCCACCAGGGGGCGCGAGGACUCUGCGACCAUCAGUGUGUCCACCGGGAGGCGCUGCAGCCCGCCUCGGGCUGUCGCGCGGUGCGGAGUGCCACCCAUAAAUUAGCCCCGCCUGGCUGGGCGAGGCAGGAUAGCAUUAUUUGCAUAAUCUUGAAAGAGCCUUCCUUACUGGUUAGGGUAUAAAAGACCAAUACGAAACGGUGCCUCUGGUUGGCUUUUCUCCUAGCUCUGUAUCCCGCCCUAUCCCUGCCCCUCUGGAACAAGAGGUCAAUCGGAAGCCUCUGAGUCGCUUCAAAGUAGGGCUCCAGAGCUCGAAGCAGCAUGGGUACCGAGAAGGAAGAGCCCGACUGUCAAAAACAGUUCCAGGCAGCAGUCAGCGUCAUUCAGAACCUGCCUAAGAAUGGCUCUUACCGCCCCUCCUAUGAAGAGAUGCUGCGAUUCUACAGCUACUACAAGCAGGCUACCAUGGGGCCCUGCCUGGUCCCCCGGCCUGGGUUCUGGGACCCCAUUGGACGUUACAAGUGGGAUGCCUGGAACAGGCAAGAUGAGCAGGGAGGAAGCCAUGUCUGCCUACAUCUCUGAGAUGAAGCUGGUGGCACAGAAGGUGAUCGACACAGUGCCCCUGGGCGAGGUGGCAGAGGAUAUGUUUGGUUAUUUCGAGCCCCUGUACCAGGUGAUCCCUGACAUGCCGAGGCCCCCAGAAACCUUCUUGAGAAGGGCCACAGGUUGGAAGGAGCCGUUGGUGCAGAGAGAGGAUCAGGCGGCUCCAGAGCCUUCUUGUGUCCCCAAGGAGCCAGUGCCUCCAAGUCCAGAGUCCCGGCCACCCAGAGACCUGGACCUGGAGGUUUUCUGUGACUCCGUGGAACAGCUAGAGCCAGAGUUGGUGAGACUGCCUGUCUUGUCCCCCGUUGCUGCUGAGCCCGAGUUGUGCCACCUCCCCCCUGGGAUCUGGGACUCCUCAGCUCAGCAGGUUUGGGCAGAGCAGAAGGAAGCAGCUGGCAGAGAGCUGACCACCAGGAGCAGCCCCGAGUCCACUGGGGAGAAGGAGGGGUUGGGAGGCGGCCUGAUAGGCCCACAGGAGUUGGACACAUGGCUGGUGGGGACAGUCCGGGCCAUGCAGGAAAGCAUGAAGGACGUUCACAGGAGGCUACAGAGCCUGGAGAGCAAGCCCCAGCCACUCAAGCAGAGGUCGCCCAGGACUCGGCCUUGGCCCCUAGGGCUCUCCGUUCCCACGCUGCUCUUCUUUAUCCUGUGGCCCUUCGUUGUCCAGUGGCUCUUCCGACAGUUUCGGACCCAGAAGAGGUGACUCAAGGACGGGGUCUCUCUAGCAACUGAGAAGACUAUGAUGAGUCCCCGAAAGGUCCUGCUGUGCCCUGAGCCUCCCUAGGUUUAGAAAAACAACUUUAGAAAUUCCUCCUCCCACCCUCGUAAACCCUGGCACUCCCUCCUUUAAUGGGGGCUCCCAUAAGACCCAUCUUUCCCUGCAGCUCACACCUACGCCCCAAAAGCAGUUCCCAAAGCAGUCAUGGUGCACAUCCUAACUUUGGGGUUGGCGGUGAGCCGGCCCCACUCUCUGGGUCACCUGACUUUGCUCCCGACGACUCGGCUCCCUGCCGAGGCUCAGCUCUUGGGCAAGUUGGGACUUGGACCUGGCCUGAAGACUGAUUGGCUGGAAGGUUGGUUGCAGGAAAGACCGGAGCCCCGCAGGAGUGGGGAGGAAUGGGAGGAGUGUGUACGCUUGGGGGCUGGGAUGCCGUGUACACACGCACAAGUACACAUCGCGCUCAGGACUUCACUGAAGAUUCACGUGCAAUUGAACGCUUCAUUAAACAAAAGAAAACCUCA